UUUUUUUUUCGCUCGGCGACCAAUCCUUGCUGUUAUCUUCACAGCUUGAGGUUCAUAACUGAAGUUAAUUGGACUAUUCCUGUUCACUCAUGUUCUCAGUUUCUCCUGUGGCUGUUGUACACUCAAACUGAGGUCUGUCAUUUCGCAAUUGCUGAUGAGAAGAAGGUGAAAUUUGGCACAAAAUGUAUUUACUUGACUUCUUAGCUGGGUGGGUUGCAGCCAGGUAUAUGAACAAAUAAUCUCUGGUCUCACAGCAAGAAGCAGUUGUGCAAAAGACUUGAACGCACAGCCCUCCCUCAGAUCCAGCUUAAACUAUUGGGUCAGGUACGUGGACAAUACUUUUGUGAUCAUUAAAUGAACAACGUUAGAAGAAACAAACCACCUUAUUAACAGCAUAUUCACCAGGAUCAAGUUUACCAGGGGAGGGGGAACAACAAUCAAGUCCUGUUUCUAAACGUAAAUGGUGGAGCAAACGACCAAUGGUAAAUUCCUUCACGGUGUAUAUAGAAAGACCACACACAGACCAUAUCUUGAAUUACAAUCGUAACCACUCCAACAUCUACGAACAGAGCUGUGUCAAGGUGUCCUUUUAAAUGAGUGAUAACGCCCUGGAGCUAUGCAAAAAUGAAGAACAUUUAUGCAAAGUCUUCGCAAACAAUUGGUGUCCCAACAGCUUCAUUCGCCAAUGCCUGGCAAAUAAACGAUACCAAGAAGAUACUUGGUAUGCCCCAACACACUGGCCACCCUAUCCUAUAUUAGAAACAAUUCAGAACUGACUACAAAACUCCUUUGACCUCUUGGAAUAAUAGCACACAAACCAACAGCCACACUUUGCUAGCUACUCUCAAAGACGAAAGACCCCGUACCACGAUAAGUAGGAUAAAAUACCAUGCAGCAAUGUGAGAAACAAUACAUAGGACAGAGGGGCAGGAAAUUUGCCACCAGGAUACAUGAACACCAACUCGUGUGAAAACGAGUAAGUUUGACAAACCAACCACAAGCUGAGCUAGAUCUUCGUUAAAACAUUAAAUCCCUGAAAUAUCUCCACUGAUUAACAGUGACCAAUUCAUAAUAUUAAAAAUAGGGACAGGAAUGGGCCAUUAGCUCUUCAGGUCUGCUGGUCAUUCAACAAGAUCCUGGUGAAAUUGCCGCAGGCCUCCACUUUUUUUAAUAUAUCAUUAUCCUCCGUCAACUCUCUGAUAUUUCAAAAAUCGACCUACCUCGUCUUUAAAUAUUUUCAGUGAUUUACCUCCAAAACACACUCUGGGGUAGAGAAUUCCAGAUAUUCAUUACAUUCAUGGAACAGAAAUUCCUUUGCAUCUCAGUUUUAAAUGAUGUCCCCUUAUUCGAUAACUAUGUCCCCCUAGUUUGAAAUUCCAUGACUAGUGAAAACAUCUUCUCAAUAUCAACUCUGUCAAGCCUCCUUUGAAUCUUUUGCAUAUUUCAAUAAGAUCACCUCCUCCUUCUAAACUCCAAUAAAUAAAAUUCUAACCUGGUUAGCCAUUCUUGAUAAGUCAGUCUCUUUAUCCUAAGAGUCAACCGAGUGAAUCUCUUUUGAACAGCCUCUAAUGCCAGCACAUACUUUCUUAACUACAGAGAGACCAAAGGUGUACACAGUAUUCCAGGUGUAGCCUCAUUAAUACGCUGUACGGUUAUAACAAGGCUUCCCCACUUUUAAACUCCACAAGCCUCAGCCAACAAUAAAGAAUACAUUACAUUUUGCCCCCUCAUCCAAGUCAUUAAUAUAGAUGGUAAGUAACUAAGGCCCUAGAACUGGACCUAGCAGCGCUCUGUGAGUUAGAUUUUUCCAACCCAAAGGACACCUAUUAAUUCUGACUGUCCAUCAUGCAUUAACAAAUCCUCAAUCCAAACUAAUAUAUUACCGCAAUAUCAUGAGCUUCCAUCUUGUCUAAUGACCCUCUGUGGCACUUUAUCAAUUGCCUUCUGGAAAUCUAACUACACUAUAUCUGCAAAUUUUCUCUAUCGUCUCUGCUUGUUAUAUCCUCAAAGAACGGUAGCAAAUUUGUCAAAUGUGACUGCCUUGUCAUAAACCAUGGGAUAAGACUGACUUAGGAAGACAAGGAUAUUCUUCUGAAAAUGCAGAGGCAAAGCUAGGGCAACAAAAUGCACGUGUGCACAGAAACGUCCAACUCAUCUAACUGACCACCCAAGCAACGCCUAUCCUUCGGAUGGGAAAUCACUCCUCAGACUUAACAGCCAACUCUGUAUCUACCAAACUGGAGUGGAAGCAAAUCACCUUGAACCUGAAGGCCUUCUUAAAAAGCGACUGCUGGGAAGGCAAUGCACUGGACUCCACUUAAUAGCAAGUCCUGCUUCACCAAGAUGUGGCUGGUUUUAAAGUAAAUUGAAUGACAAGGCUGAAGAUGUAAAAGCAAGAAGAAAAUUCAAGAAAGCAAGCAACCUCAUUGAUUACAGACUAUCAACUGACUGAUAUUGAAUAUGAGUCUUGGAUUUAAAAUAAAAUGAUACCUUAGCCUGUUAUUUUCUUUCUCUUUUCCACAUCUCUCUUACCAAUUACCAACUUCAGCCCAUUUCAUAAUGUCUCUCGCUCUCACUCUGGAUUGCCAAUCAUUACUGUAACUAAGUUGCAUUAUCCUUGACUGUUGGACCUGAUACCAUUUCUGUUCUGCCUUUGAAAUAUUAUGUACAUGGAAUUUUCAUUGCCCAGUCUUGGCUGCCUCAUAACUGUCUCUGUAAUGAAAGUGGACCUAAAUAAUUUUUUUAUUUGUGCUGUUAAUUCAUCUGACGUACUGUGAAUGAUUUUCACAUUCAGUUAGAGAUGUUUUUCUUAAAAUACCUAGUAUUUGCUUGGUCCUUUAUUUGUACAUGGACUCUGUUAAACUAUCUUCCCCUUUCUAUGUCCUUGUCUUUAUCCAAAAUCUCUACACAGUUCUAUGUCCUCCUUUUCCUAUUUUCUUCUCGCUUUACCUGAAACCUCUUCUGUUUUAAAGCCUAUCCAUGUUGACCUUCUGAAAUUGGUGGACACCAGAAUGAAUAGCAUCCAUAGGCAUGGGUAGCAAUAUUAUGGUUUACCUUUGUUUUUCUUUUAAAAGUAUAUUUUGUGUUGCAUUAUUAGUUGUGGCUUUGGAAAGAGAGUGAGUAAAUUUGGCUUUUCUGGUGAUGACUCUGGGAAACCCAGAGUAAUCUUUUUGCUUGAAAAAAGCUGAUGGGCAUUAUAUAAAUUAGAUUUUUUUUCUUUCUGAUUGAUUAAAUGGAUUUUUAUUUUUGAAAAAAUAAGGGGCUUGCAAAUUGCUCUACUUUUGUAGGGGUAUUAAAUGGCGAAAGAUAGUGGAAUCGGUUGACUGUUUGACUGUGAUGAGAGAUUACUUGUUGAAAGCUUUUGUGGAUCUUUGGAAUUCUCUACCAGAGUGACCUGUAGAUGUUCACUUGUUGACAUAUUCAAGUGCAAGAUUUACAAAUGUUACUAAGGGCAUCAAGAUGAUAGGGGUAGAAGAUCAGCUUUGACUUCAUUAAACAUAGAACAGGUUUAAGUGUAUGAAUUUCAUACCACUCCUCUUGGUUUGUGCAUUCUGAGAGGUUUAAGGAGGAAACUCCAGAGUUUAAAGUUAUAGCUCAUGGCAUUCCACUUAAAGUUGGGUGUGGCAAAAUUAAAGGAUGGCAAUAUCUUAGAGGAUAUUGCUGAGGUAGAGGAAAAAACAAAGCCAUUGACUGUUUUAAAAACAACAUCAACUAUAUUUAUACAGUGCCUUUAACAUAAUAAGCAUCUUCAGGUACUUCAUAAACUACUUUUCUUAAAAAGAGACAUUAAUCACGGAAAUGACAGCAGAUGACUAUGCAUUUUGGAGGAGGAGGAAAGCGAGCAAUCCUAAAUGUUUUGGGAAGGAAUUCCGGAUCUUACAGUCCAGGCAACUGAGAAUAAAGGCGCCAACAAUGGGGCAACUAAAAGUGGGGUGCUCAGGAGGCCAGACUCAGAUGAGGGCAUGGAGGGCUGAGGAGUUGGGGCUGAUCUGAGAUGAGUGAGAGGGUGGGAGUUUGCAAGGCUAUGCAUGCUCUUGGACAAACGAAAAUUUUAAAAUCGUGCUGUAUAAAGUGCCAUAAUAUCAGAAGCCAGUAUGGUCAACACAGCAGGGGAAAGGAUGUUCAGGAUUUACUGAAGAUAAGGACAGCAGCAGAAUUUUAGAUGACAUCAAGUUUUACAAAGGGUAGAAUGCAAUAGGCUGGCUAGGAGUAUGCAAAAUGGUCAAAGCUAGAGAUAACAUUGGAUGAGGUUUUUGCCAACAAAUGACUUGAGAUUGGGCAGAGACAGGCAACUUACAAAGAUGCAGGCAGGUGAUCUCCAUGACGGUGUGGAUACAUGGUUGGAUGUUCGUUUUGGGGUCAAGUUUGGCACCAAGCUUACAAAUAGUCUGGUUAAAAUCAGCCAGUUUCCAGGGAGAGGAGUGGAGCGAGUAGGUAAUGGAAAUUAUCACGGAUUUCAAAUUCCUAAUUAUAAAGCUGAAGGAAGCUUCUGCUCAUUCAAAGUACUGGCAAUACUAACUAUUUGACAACUUAGUUGUGUGACAUCAACAUAUGUGCAGAAAUGAGCAAUUUUUUUGAUGCCAAGUGGCAGCAAAAAGGCAAAUAGGAGCGGGUCCACAAUAAAGCUGGGGGAGCCAGAGGUGAUGGUGCAGGAGUGGAAAGUGAAACCAUCGUUGUGAUUCUCUGACUAUGAAUGGAUCAUGUGACUGCAGUCCCACACAACUGAAUGAGGUGGAUAGAAAUGUGAGAAAUCUGAAGGGCAAAUUCAGACUUGAACAGUGGUGCUUUGUGCCUGAGGCUAGAGAUGUGAGGAGAUAAUGGAGCUUUUAAGCCUUUAAAAAGAGGUUUGCUGAGAGAUGUUCUUGUAUUAGUAUAUGAUGAGUUAAAUUAAAAUGUAAAUAUAAAUUUAGUAAUUUUUAAAUUUUAAAUAAGAGUAGGACAAAGGACAUGGUUUCAAAUUAGAAAAUGUCCUAUUUAGCACAAAUGUCUGCUUGGAAUGGGUCCUUGAUGGACUAAAGAAGUGAAACCUGUGGAAUAAUGUAUGAAACAAUUGAUCAUCUAAUUCUAGCAGGUGGAUUUUAGCUGAAUCAAUAAAAUGAUCCUAAGAUGGGAAAAUUGGCCAAUCUUGACGUUGAAUCAUUCCUGAUGGAUUCCUAACCCUUUGGUUCAAAUAACGUCCUAGGGACUUGUUACAAAUGUGCACUACUGUCACUUUUGUGCACAAGUAUUCAUUUUGUUUCCUGUCUUUAGGUUGAGAGUUUUUGUUUUUGUUUAAGGUAACAAUUAUUUGUCAGAUACUGACAAUUCCAGGGGCAACCAGGGAUUCUAAAUAAAUAAGCACAAAUACUAACGUAAAGUAAUAGUUCGUCAUUUUUGUGCACCUUUUCACAGUGCCUUUUAAAUUCUUUUAUGCAUAAUUUCACAGUAAAGGACACAACAUAGAAUCAUAGAAUCACAGAAUCCCUACAGUGUGGGAGCAGGUCAUUCAGCCCAUCAAGUCCACACUGACACUCUGAAGGGCAUCCCACUUGAUCCCUCUAAUCCUGCCUUUCCCCACAGCUCAUCCACCCAGAUUUCACAUCCCUGAAAACUACGGGGAAAUUUAGCUUAGCCAGUCCACUUAACCUACUCAUCUUUGGAUUGUGGGAGGAAACUCGAACACUCUGAGGAAACCCACAAGAUACAGGGAGAAUGUGUUUAAAAAAAUUCCACCUUACAGUUCUGUGGAGAGGCCUGUGUGAUGUAUAAAUGUGACAAGAGUGGAUAUAAUAGGGGUGGCACGGUGGCUCAGUGGUUAGCACUGCAGCCUCACAGCACCAGGGACCUGGGUUCAAUUCCAGCCUCGGGCAACUGUCUUGUGUGGAGUUUGCACAUUCUCCCCGUGUAUGCAUGGGUUUCCACCGGGUGCUCCGGUUUCCUCCCACAGUCCAAAGAUGUGCGGGCUAGGUGGAUCGGCCAGCUAAAUUGCCCGUAAUGUUCAAAGAUGUGUGGGUUAUAGGGGGACAGUUCUGGGUGGGAUACUUCAAGGGGCAAUGUGGACUUGUUGGGCCGAAGGGCCUGUUUCCACACUGUAGGGAAUCUAAUCUAAUAAUUACUACAAGACUGCAUCACGUAAUAAAUGAGUUACUGAAAAUGGAAAAUGUGCCUCAUGAAAAUGUUCAGAAAAUGUUCAAAAAUGUCCUUAAAAAUCUUUCAGCAUUCUAAAACAAAACGACCAUUGUGGCUUGAUAAGUGUGAGAGGUGGAAUUCUGCAACAGAAAGUAGCUACUUUGCCAGUAUGCUAACUGGCUGGAUAUUGAUGCUGCUUUGUGACCUGUUUCCAAAAACACCAGUAGACUUAGCACAGUACAUUACCACACGAACUGAGGGCAACUAAAAGUGACUAGUGGAAAUUCUGGAAAAUGACAGCAUCUUUUUCAGUGCUGCUUUCUUUCCUGACCUCAUCUGAAAAUAAGUUGGGUGUAGAAUCAUCGACUCCACUGCUCGAUGAAACGCACAAGCCAAUUUGACAAAACUGGGAUCUGUCAUUAAAAUUUGUCUUUGCUUUUUCAGACAUUCCUGAAAAGAUCAUGAUUUUCAGGUUCUUACGCCCCAAGAGUGGAGGGGUACAAUACAUUGGUAUUAAUCAUGGGACGUAUUUACAAUUGUUUCUGCAGGUUUCCUACCCCAAAAACAGGCUAACUGAUUAAAUUAUUGCUGCUUGGUGGGAAAACUAACACAAGCUGGUGGUCAAUGCUUAGAUAUGCCUUA